AUGUACGGUGACAGACACACCCGCGAGUACAUUAAGGACGUACAUGAGUUUCUCGAUGCGGCUGAGGCAAACAAGCAGAAUGAUUUUAUGUGUUGUCCAUGCACUGAAUGUGGGAAUACGAGGUCUUACUCUAACCGGAAAAUCCUUCACUCCCACCUGCUUUACAAGGGUUUCAUGCCACACUAUAAUGUUUGGACGAGGCACGGAGAAAUAGGGGUUAUGAUGGAAGACAGCGAAGAAGAAGAGUACGAUGACAACUAUGUGCCCCCUGAAUACGGUGAUGCUGAACGGGGGGAGCUGGUGAAGAUCAAGAGGAACCAGACGAUGUGCACAAUGAUGCUGCAACGGGUGAAGCUGCUGAAGAUCAAGAGGAACCAGACGAUGUGCCCGAUGAUGAUGAUCUCCGCCGGGUCAUUGUCGAUGCAAGGACGCAAUGCGAAAGUCAAAAGGAGAAACUGA
rnacentral:rRNA from 1 species